ensembl:lncRNA
CCCCCCCCAGUGACGACCCUCCAAUUCAGUAUUUGCUCUUUGGUUUACCUUUGUCUCUGUUCUUUCCCUCAGGAACUAUCCGAUUUCAUGACCGCAAAGUGCAUUUUUCAGAUGCAGGUUUCUAGAGGGACCUUUGCCCCAAAUCGCAUUCCAACCUCCAACUCCACCUGGACAAGCUGCUCAGACCUGAAACAGAAAUUCUAAGCCAGAAGGACAGGGAAGACGGUUCACAGGGUCCAGCAAUGAGUGAAUUGAGAGUACUGGACUGGGAGGUUUACUGACCACAUUUCCAGCUACAGUUUAGUGACACCUUUAUAUCCUGAUGAUAAGUCUACAUACAGCUCAGCUAACUCACCAGCUUAAACCCACCAGUCUGUUUUUCAUCUCCCCUGUUUUCUACUCUCUCUUUUCAUUUGCAUUCACAUCCCUUAUUUCCUUUUCAUUCCUCUCCUGUCUCAUUCUUUCUUUUUCUCUUUCUCUUCCAUUGGUAAUCAAUCAGACAUUUUCAAAGGAAUCACGCCUUCUCUCAUGGUACAG